UAGGGAAUCUUCGGCAAUGGACGGAAGUCUGACCGAGCAACGCCGCGUGAGUGAAGAAGGUUUUCGGAUCGUAAAGCUCUGUUGUUAGAGAAGAACGUUGGUAGGAGAGGAAAAUCUACCAAGUGACGGUAACUAACCAGAAAGGGACGGCUAACUACGUGCCAGCAGCCGCGGUAAUACGUAGGUCCCGAGCGUUGUCCGGAUUUAUUGGGCGUAAAGCGAGCGCAGGCGGUUCUUUAAGUCUGAAGUUAAAGGCAGUGGCUUAACCAUUGUACGCUUUGGAAACUGGAGGACUUGAGUGCAGAAGGGGAGAGUGGAAUUCCAUGUGUAGCGGUGAAAUGCGUAGAUAUAUGGCGGAACACCGGUGGCGAAGGCGGCUCUCUGGUCUGUAACUGACGCUGAGGCUCGAAAGCGUGGGGAGCAAACAGG
rnacentral:rRNA from 1 species